AUCCAACAGACGAUGGGUCCCAAACAGGACGAAAUGCUCAUCCAGGAU
rnacentral:hammerhead_ribozyme from 1 species